rnacentral:rRNA from 1 species
AUUGAACGCUGGCGGCAUGCCUUACACAUGCAAGUCGAACGGCAGCACGGGUGCUUGCACCUGGUGGCGAGUGGCGAACGGGUGAGUAAUAUAUCGGAACGUACCUUAUUGUGGGGGAUAACGCAGCGAAAGCUGUGCUAAUACCGCAUAAUCCCUAAGGGGGAAAGCGGGGGACCGUAAGGCCUCGCGCAAUUAGAGCGGCCGAUACCUGAUUAGCUAGUUGGGGAGGUAAAGGCUCACCAAGGCAACGAUCAGUAGCUGGUCUGAGAGGACGAUCGGCCACACUGGGACUGAGACACGGCCCAGACUCCUACGGGAGGCAGCAGUGGGGAAUUUUGGACAAUGGGGGCAACCCUGAUCCAGCAAUGCCGCGUGAGUGAAGAAGGCCUUCGGGUUGUAAAGCUCUUUUGUCAGGGAAGAAACAGCAGCUCUAACACAGUAUGCGAAUGACGGUACCUGAAGAAUAAGCACCGGCUAACUACGUGCCAGCCGCCGCAGUAA